rnacentral:rRNA from 1 species
CCUACGGGAGGCUGCAGUGAGGAAUAUUGGUCAAUGGGCGGGAGCCUGAACCAGCCAAGCCGCGUGAGGGAAGAAGGUACAGCGUAUCGUAAACCUCUUUUGUCAGGGAACAAAGGCGGGGACUAGUCCCCGGAUGAGGGUACCUGAAGAAAAAGCAUCGGCUAACUCCGUGCCAGCAGCCGCGGUCAUACGGGGGAUGCGAGCGUUAUCCGGAUUUAUUGGGUUUAAAGGGUGCGCAGGCGGCCUGUUAAGUCAGCGGUAAAAGCCCGGGGCUCAACCCCGGCGAGCGGUGGAACCUGGCGGGCGGGAGUUGGAGAGAAGUACGCGGAAGGCGCGGGGUAGCGGUGAAAUGCUGAGAGAGCGCGCAGAACCCCGAUUGCGAAGGCAGCGUACCGGCUCCACACUGACGCUGAGGCACGAAAGCGUGGGUAUCGAACAGGAUUAGAUACCCUUGUAGUC